AUAUCUUUCUCGGUCUUUUGACUAAGAUAAAUUGUAAUAUUUGAUGUAUCAAUUUAAUAGCUGGUAUGUGGACCAUAUAUUCACUUUGAUAUUAAAUUUAUUUUUUGUGGUUUUUAUGGGUAUAGUCCAUCAAACUGGUUUGGUUUACUGGACCCUCACGUAUCUCUCAGCUGUUGCAUUGGUGGUAGGGCUUGACUCAUCUCAG
rfam:Zea mays cultivar B73 chromosome 8, whole genome shotgun sequence.